CAAGAUAUAGUUAAACAAGAAUAUUGGCUUUGGGGGCCAGAGGUAAGGAUUAGUUCCUUUGUCUUGA
rnacentral:tRNA from 1 species